AUUGAACGCUGGCGGCAUGCCUUACACAUGCAAGUCGAACGGUAACAGGUCUUCGGAUGCUGACGAGUGGCGAACGGGUGAGUAAUACAUCGGAACGUGCCCGAUCGUGGGGGAUAACGAGGCGAAAGCUUUGCUAAUACCGCAUACGAUCUACGGAUGAAAGCGGGGGAUCUUCGGACCUCGCGCGGACGGACCGGCCGAUGGCAGAUUAGGUAGUUGGUGGGAUAAAAGCUUACCAAGCCGACGAUCUGUAGCUGGUCUGAGAGGAUGAUCAGCCACACUGGGACUGAGACACGGCCCAGACUCCUACGGGAGGCAGCAGUGGGGAAUUUUGGACAAUGGGCGAAAGCCUGAUCCAGCCAUGCCGCGUGCAGGAUGAAGGCCUUCGGGUUGUAAACUGCUUUUGUACGGAACGAAAAGCCUCUUUCUAAUAAAGAGGGGUCAUGACGGUACCGUAAGAAUAAGCACCGGCUAACUACGUG
rnacentral:rRNA from 1 species